rnacentral:rRNA from 1 species
CCCUUAGACGUUCUGGGCCGCACGCGCGCUACACUGACCAGUGCAACAAGCAUCCGUCCUUGGCCGACAGGCUCGGGCAAUCUUUGAACGCUGGUCGUGAUGGGGAUAGACUUUUGCAAUUUUUGGUCUUCAACGAGGAAUUCCUAGUAAACGCAAGUCAUCAACUUGCAUUGAUUACGUCCCUGCCCUUUGUACACACCGCCCGUCGCACCUACCGAUUGAAUGGUCCGGUGAAGCCUCCGGAUUGGCGCGCACCUCGGUGCCGCCGAGAAGUUGGCUAAACCUUACCAUUUAGAGGAAGGUGCAGUCGUAACA